UGGGGAAUAUUGCGCAAUGGGCGAAAGCCUGACGCAGCCACGCCGCGUGAGUGACGAAGGCCUCCGGGUUGUAAAGCUCUGUCGCGAGGGAAGAAAUACUCCAGGUAAAUAGCCUGGAGAGAUGAUGGUACCUCGCAAGAAAGCACCGGCUAACUCCGUGCCAGCAGCCGCGGUAAUACGGAGGGUGCAAGCGUUGUUCGGAAUCACUGGGCGUAAAGCGUGCGUAGGCGGUCUCGUAAGUCGGGUGUGAAAGCCCUGGGCUCAACCCAGGAACUGCACACGAUACUGCGGGACUUGAGGACGGGAGAGGGAAGCGGAAUUCCUGGUGUAGCGGUGAAAUGCGUAGAUAUCAGGAGGAACACCCGUGGCGAAAGCGGCUUCCUGGCCCGUUACUGACGCUGAGGCACGAGAGCGUGGGGAGCAAACAGG
rnacentral:rRNA from 1 species